GUGCCAGCAGCCGCGGUAAUACGUAGGUGGCAAGCGUUGUCCGGAAUUAUUGGGCGUAAAGCGCGCGCAGGCGGUUUCUUAAGUCUGAUGUGAAAGCCCCCGGCUCAACCGGGGAGGGUCAUUGGAAACUGGGAAACUUGAGUGCAGAAGAGGAAGAGUGGAAUUCCACGUGUAGCGGUGAAAAUGCGUAAAGAUGUGGAGGAACACCAGUGGCGAAGGCGACUCUCUGGUCUGUAACUGACGCUGAGGCGCGAAAGCGUGGGGAGCGAACAGGAUUAGAUACCCUGGUAGUCC
rnacentral:rRNA from 1 species